UUGACUUAAUCUUAAAUACAAUAGUUGAAACGAAACACUAUAAAUCACAUGGUCUAAAAGCAAUACUGUCUUUGUUAAAGGUACACAGAUACGAAUAUUUUAUUUUUAACAACUCACUGUAUCCUUGUCUUUAUCGUGGAACAAUUAUUUUUGUAUCCGUUAAUUUAUGUUAAAUGUAAACUAAAUACACUAGUAGUGAGAUGUUUUGUUAUUUAUUCUUUUUACAAAUUUAAAUAUUACAAAGAAUGCGGAACGACAAACCCAGUUUUCAUACAAAUAAAAAAAAACAAAAAAACAUAUGAUUAUCUGAAAGGUCAUUCUUUCAUCAACAAGGGAACUUGAUACGGAAGAAUUUAGUUACAACAAUUUAUAUUUGCGUUUCAUUAUCUACCUUGCUUGUCAAAAGGAUUACAGAUUGGACAUAUAAUGCUUUUGCAUCUUGUUUUAUAGUCACUUUAAGGAUAACAUCAUGAUGAAAUACAGUGUUUGUGUUUUUAUUAAGUUGCUCAUUUUCGUUUGCUUCAUCAGUAGAGGGCUUCAAAACAAGAUAAUCUAUUCAAUUUAUGGUUCAAUUAAAGAAAUAAACUUGCUCAAUGGAGAAGUAUCAACUUUAGUAUCCAAUCUGCAGAGUAAUAUAUAUUCCUUAGACUAUGAUUAUAAAACUGGAUAUAUUUUUUCCCGAGGCAUAAUAAAGACGACAUUUUGAGGUUUCGUUAUCCAUCUGAUACAGCUUAUAGCACUAAAUUGGUAAUAAGUGCAAGGGAACCAAUAGCUCUGGUUAUUGACCCGCUAUUGAAUCAUGUGUAUUGGACAGAAAUAUACCAACAAAAGAUCUAUAGAUGUAAUUUUGAUGGGACAAAUAAGAACUUCAUUCUGCAAGAUGAUCAACUAUAUGCUAUUACAUUAGAUUACGUAAACAGCUGGCUGUACUAUAGUACAAAGACAAACAAAAUAAGAAGAUCAAGAUUAAAUGGUGCUGACAAACAGACCCUCAAAGAGUUGGUAGAUGUAACUGGUUUGGGUAUAGAUUAUAACAAAAAACGACUGUAUUGGAUGGAAUAUCAAAGAGGAGAUUUGGAAUCUUCUGAUCUCAAUGGAACAAAUGCUAUCAAAGUAGUCAGCACGAAUAAAACCAGAACAAACAUAGGCAUUUAUGUUUAUGGUAGCAAAAUAUAUUGCUCAAAUGGUAAUCAAAUAUUAAAAGUCACAGUAUCACCAGUAACAAUGGCAGAUGUCGUACACACAGAUACAGAGACAAUUCAUGGUGUACUUUUUUAUGAUGGUAAGAAUAUACUUAUUGGAAGAAAAGGGUAAAGAUAAAUUUUCUGACAUAUUCGUAUACUGUUUAUAUCUUUCAGUCAAUCAAGAUAAAAUCUCAUUAACGUUACCAAUUUUUCUGCACAAGAUGCGCAUUUCCACAAUACAUGAGCUUCGUCGGAUAGAAAUCGACCUCAUGCACAUGAUUAUCAAUACAUCUAUUAACUUAUUUCGGGUUGAAAAAAUCUCUUUGCAAAAUCUGUAACUGUUUGAAAAUAAGUCGAUAUAAGAUUCCUACAAAAUAGUCCAAAAAGUAUCUUUAAUUUCGUAUUUGAAUGUUCCAAAAUCAUUCAAAGUAUGAUACAUGUACAUGAAUACGUGCAUUAGUCAAUUUCUAUCCGAUGCAGAUCACAUGUCUCUUCAGUGAAUAUAUGGCCGAAAUAUUUGAAAAUCCAAAACUUAAUGAAAAAAAAAAAAUGAAGAGCUUAUAAACCAAAAAGAACACAAGGUAAAGCCAAAGCCAGGCAAGGAAUCAUAGCUUUGAAUGAGAGGAUUAUCAGUCCCAUAAACAAAAUCGCUUUAAAACAUGUGGGUAUUUCUUAACGAAUCAAUUCAUAUAUGAUUGGCAAUGUCUUUUUAUUUGAUUAUAUAAAAUUUAAUGUGUGUAAAUAAUGACUUGUUAAGAAGAAUGAAAAAAUAUGUACAAAUGUAUGUUAGUCUGUAAAUGAGAAAAUUGCAUGCAUACACACAAUGCAUAUUGCACAAUAAGGAUAAAUUGUACACGUAAUUUGAUAAAAAAAUGUUUGCAAUAAAUGUUUGAUUUAUUGACCUAAAUAUAUUAUGCAUAUCAUAUAUGUAAUUUAAAUAAUUUCAUCGGCAACUUGUAUGUAUCAUUAAUUAACGAUGUCUAACCUUUUUGUAUGUGUCUUCGUCUCAAUAUUGUGAAAUAGUUAUGUACGGUUUGUACGUGCAUGCAGCUAUAUAAUCAACGUUAUCUCGUAGCUAUUAAUUCGUAUUAAAUUAACAAAAUUUACAGGUUAACUAACACUAUUAUCUAGCUUAAUGAAUGCAGUAACGGUUGUUUAUGAAUAUGAGAGAGCAGUCUUUUAUUGACGUUCCCAUUUGGAUAUCAGCUAUGAGUAAUCAAUAAUAAAAAAACCUAGACGAAAAAAUAGUACAAACGAAUAAACUUAUCCUACUUUGUAGUCUUACAGAGGGAUGCAUAUAGUUCGUUCUACCUCAUAAUCACGAGUUUUAAAUUUUAGUUACUAAUAAUGUUUCAAUCGAUAAAUAUUUAAGUUUUAUGUUUACACGUUUGUAAUACAUUUAGAAAAGAGAGGCAAACGAUACCAGAGGGACAUUAAAACUCAAAAAUCGAAAAUAAACUGACAACACCAUGGCUAAAAAAGACAAAUAACAAACACACAAAUAAUAGUACACAAAACACCACAUAGAAAACUAAAAACUAAGCAAAACGAACCCAACCAAAAACUAGGGGUGAUCUUAGGUGAUCCGGAAGGGUAAGCAGAACCUGCUCCAUAAUUGACACCCGUCGUGUUGCUCAUGUUAGGACAAACCCGAUAACUAGUCUAAUUCGAUAGGUCAUAGAAAUAUCGUGUUUGCCCCUCUUUCCAUACAGAUUUGAACUACAUACAUUUACACAACCUUAUUUCAUUCACUAAAACGACAUAAGUGACAUGUAACAUUGUAUAUUAUGAUUAAGACGUUUUCUAAAUACUUUAUGACACGUUUACAUCAUGUCUAUAUUAUACGAUGUGUUAUUGGUUUAGUUUGACUAAUUUGAUAAUGUCAUAUUUGAAAUAAACCUUGUACUUACUUUUGCUUCUUUUCGAAUAAUAUUUUCAUGAAAACAAAAUAUCCCUUCCAUGAACAAAUGAUUUUCAAAUCAAUGACCAUUAUCUCAUGAAUUAAUUGAUAUUUGAUUAAACAUGUCUCUAAAUUUGCACAUGUUAGUAUGUUGAGUUUAAUCAUACAUAUGUUUUAUAUAUUUAAUUUCAAUCUAACGAAUUGAUUCAUGUGUUCCUUUUUCAUUUAAAGAAAUGUUUAAAACGUCUAUAUAUGAGGUAUUCACAAACAUAACCUUAAAUAAUUCCACUGACACCAAAAGGUGAGUAAUAUUUUAUGUUUUUUUUUAAUUCAAAACUUAUUAUAGAAACGUGUAAAAAAAUGUUUAAAAGUACAUCAGCACAAGCAAAUGAUUAUAAUUUUCCAAUUGAUUUUGAAAAAAGAAAUAUUUUUCAUGUCACAAUACACACAUUUAAACUGAAAACACUAUUGUCCAAUGAUUGUUUUUCGCGCAUAUGCGUUGAUAUUGGCAAGUUUGGAUCAACUGCAUAACAGUUUGUUAUCUACAGACUAGACUUUACAAAGUACAUCACACACAAUCAGUAGGUAUCAAUUUUUUUUUUUAAUUUUAUAUGGAUACACAGAUAGUGUUUACAUGAACCUAUUGUUUUAUCUGUAUUUUGAACAAAGACAUUUAUUUUUCAGUCGAAGAUUUUGCUUAACACAUCUGACUUACAGUUUAAGAAAGAGUAUGCAGUAUCUUGAUUAACCAUUGUUUUUCCUGUUUUAUAUAUCCUUCAUUAUAUGUCGGCAGUGAAAAUAAUUGGUCGUUAUUUCUCUUCCUGAACUUAAAAAUGAAAAAUGGUACGAUAGAAGGACGUUGGGGUUUGUAAUGGAACACACUGCAUGUCGGAUAGACCGCGACGGAGCCCAACUAUGGAGUGAUAUCGUACAGUAAUUCUAACUUUCAUCAAAAGAAUAAUUACGACGACUUUCAUUAAUUUUAUUGAAACAUUUAAAGGAAUAAAAAAAAGAUAAUGAGCAUGCAAGAAUUAGGACCACAGAACAUCUCCAAUACACACUAGUGACUCACAGUCGGACAAUCGAGUGAAUGUUACAAGGAAUAUGAUGUCAAUUAUAAAUAUAUAAAACAUGGGACAUUCGAAUCGGUAAAUUGUGAUUACAUAUUAAAGCAUUAUCCAUACUGCCGACGUAUUCGGGACAAUGGUAUCAAUAUACCAAAGCGAAAUAUAUGUCAACUUGUGUUGACAAUAGUUCUAAAAUAAACUCGAACUGAUUUAACUGGAAAAUAUGAAUGAUAAUCAAAAGCAAAAAAACGUCUACCGUAUUCAAAUAAAAAAGGCGAUUUGGUAGUUGAAGCAAAGAUGUGAACUAAAGUACAUAUGCAUACACCAAUCAAGAUGCAUAGAUGACAGACGUAUAAAUGAGUGGUUUAGUUAGAUUCUUAAGAGCUUUCAUUGAGGGAUUUAUAAAAUGUUGGUGUUUGAGUGAAUGUAUUCUGAGAUGCAUUAUACACAUAACAUUAUUUACACGGGUAAAAGCGGGAAGUUUAAAUUGAGAAUAGCUAAUGCCUAUGCUCCUUACAGUGGACAAUACGUCCGAAUGUGCAUGUAUUUAACAAAAUGUGUAUGAUGCCGUGAUGCAAUUAUAUUACACCAUCCAAAAUAUAUUGCAGCUUAUAUAAUAUAUUUUGUUGCAUCAUUUAUUGACAGGGGAUUCAUAAACGCAAUACUUUGAAUUCGGUAAAUAAGUUCGCAAAACAGUCAAUGCAUACUGUUUUUUUUUUUUGGCUUACAUGUUCGAUUUUUAAUAAAUUAUUAAAGUUCACAAAGAGUCAUGUGUUAAAACACUCACAAAACGUUCAAAGCUAUUACGUAAACAUAUAAGCAUUUAAUGCAAAAUAUAUUGAUUGUCUUUUAGGCAUAAUAAAUAAACAAAUAUCAAUCAUGAA